rnacentral:lncRNA from 1 species
UUUUAUAAAUAUUUGAAUGGUUUUAUUGAUGUUAUAUUGUCUAGGUCUGCCACUAAUCAUCUACCCGCCUGCAAACAUCUACUAGUAGGGUAAGAUAUUUUAAGAACUGGGCUCAGUGUAGUGCAUAUUGCGGGUGUGGUAUUGGAUGAUUUACAGAAAUUAUCCCCUCAACAUUGCUUUAAUUUGGAUCUAACAGAUUUCUGGUUUGCCGCCCGGUCUAAAAAUCUACUGUACGUCCCAGUAUAGAUACAAAGAGAGGAGAAUCGAUCACGUUACCAGGGACUGCAAGAACGUAUUCACAAUACUCAGAGAAUGAUAUCGGAGCAGCUCUAAUACCACCGUUGGGAUGGGGAUAUAAUAUUGGCCACCAUAGAAGAUUGUCAAGUUCAAACAGCUACUGGAGUAGAUGCAAAGCUGCACUGGUCUGCGCCACACUGCUUCGUUGACUUGAUCAAGUGCAGCAGCAUACUCCGUACUGUAUUUGUUAACUCUCACGUCCUGACGUAAGCUGUGACGCCGUUCCUGAGUGAGACCAGUUUUGAGCAAUUUCCUUCAACAUUCCCUUCAGACAGAGUCAUAGGCAGCGCACGCGCGGCGCAUUCAGUUCUGAGCCUAUAAAAUCCAGUGCAGCCCCUCCUGG